GGGGGGCCUGGCGUCACGGCAGCAGAAGCCGGCCGGAGGGUGGUCCUGGCCCUGCACUCUGCCCUAUCUAUGAGCUCGUGACAAGUGCCUUCUGGGGGACACCCUCACAUUCUUGGGCAAAGGGGGAUACUUUCCGUGGGGCUCCGGGUCCUGCACCUGCGGACGAGGGUUCUUGCUGUAAACAGUGACCUUGCCUCUGGGGUGCAGUUAUGAUACGACCAUCUAGGUCAUGCCUGACCCGGCUCCAGGCGGCAGCCCCUUGCGGAGAGGGACAGUGUCUCAUCUCCCCAGGGCUGGAGCACGCUGGGCGUCACACAGCGUUACCACCCACGAUUGGAAUGGAAUUGAGCGCAUCCGGGCCGGACCUGGGCUGGGCCGGGGUCUGCCUCCCCUCCCACCCCCCGGGGCUCCCCCUGCCGUGCCUCUAGCUCUGCGGAGAGCCGGACGGGGUUGCCAGGCCCUGGUCCUCGGGCCGAGCUGUCCAAACGCCGGGCAGGCUCUACCCCGUCCCCUGACCCUCGUCCAGGCCUGGGCUUCACAUGGGGUGAGGUCAUAGCUUAUGUCACUUGGGGACCUCAAAGACCAUCCCAGGCCACACCUCAGCCUGCGAUAAGACUCAUCAGCCCACAUCAGUGGGUGACUCAGAGGGUGGGGUGGCCAGGGGUCAGUGACCUGGGAGCAUCUGUCUGCAGUCCCCUCCCCUUGGCAUCCACCACACUUAGAGGAAGCGAGUCCCUCUGAGAGGGCGACCUUACCCUUCCUGGGGGGAAGGAAACCUGGGGGCCUGGCAGGGGGCCACUCCAGGACCCGGGGAUUGGAGGGCCUUCCUGAGUGGGUGGCAUUCGAGAGGGGCUCCGACCACCAGGGCAGGGGCUGCAGGAAGGGGGUGCAAGAAGGCAGGACACCUGGAGGGACAAGAUGAUUCCUCAGCUCCCGGUCCUUCAGGGUCAGUGACAGAAAGCCCCGCUCCAACUGGCCUCAACAAAAGGGAAUUGACGCGGUGGGCUGGCAUCAGGUAUGGCCCGAUCCAGGGACUCCCAAUGUCCUCCGGCCCGUGUGGAUUAUGUUCCCCUGGUGCUGGCUGCAUGACGGCCACCAGCAGAACCAGGCACCGUGCUCCAGGGCGAGUCCCCAGCAGCCCUGCAGAAGUCUCAGUGCAUCUCAUUGGCCCUGGGGGCUCUGCUGUCCAUCCCUGACCUAGUCACGGAGGCAACGGAGUCCGGAGCUGCGUCCCGUCGGUGUCUGAUCACCUGCGGGCUCGGCGUUCUCCAGAGGACGAUGGUCCCUGCUGGCAGGAAGGUAUAUCCAGAGACCGAGCUGACAGAGGUGCUGGGUGACCGCACCAGGAGACGUGAGCAUCCCCUUCCCAGGCUUCCUGGCAGGGCCUCUGCUCACACACCUCUGAUGACGGGGAGCUCACCACCAUCAAAGCAGUCCCUUCGGUUGGUUACUAGAAUGUUCUUCCUUUGAGUUAAAUUCUGCUCCUGUAACUCCCACCUUUGGACUCCCCUCGACCCCACAAGGCUGUAGAGAAUACAUCAGUCCCCUCAUGGACAAAAGGAGGCCGUAAACACCUGAGGCCGGUCCCCAGUUGUUUCUUCUCUAGUCAUUUGCUAGGUGACCUGGGGCCCCAGUUUCUUACCUACUGGAGGAUGAGAAGAAAGAGGCUUCCUCCUGGGGCUCCCAAGAGCCAAAGGAGGAGAUGGGUGGGGUGCUAGGAUGCCCCCCAAGAUUCCUGCCCCCUGGUAUGCACACCCUGCGUAAUUCCCUUCCCCUUGACUGUGGGUGGGCCUGACCUAAUCAGGUAAGCCCUCAAAAGGAACUGGGCCCUUCCUGAAGUCUGAGGCUUAAAGCAUAGAGAGCUUGGAAGUGCGAGGGGCCCAGGAAGCGGGCCACGGGGCAAGGACCCGGGGCGAUCUCUAGGAGCUGAGCAGACCCCAGCUGACAGCCAGCAAGAAAACGGGAACCACAGUCCUGCAACCACGAGGAAUGAAUUCUGCCAACACCCUGAAGACGCUUUCCUCGCUGAGCCUCCGGUCGGGGGUGCUGCUGGCCGACCCCCUGCGAGACUUUGGGCCAGGACCAGCCACGGUGUGCCAGCCUCUUGACCCACGGAGAGAGCGAGGCAAUGAAGGAGGAAAACCGAGGCCCGGGGAGGGCAAGUGGGUUGCUGAGACCACCAGGCUAAUCGACAUGAGGUCACAGGGACUGAGCCUCUCCCCUGCAGCGGCACGAACCCUUUUACCACGUCCUCCGAAGCAGCUGCUGUUACUGACAUGCCCGUUUGACGCAUCAAGAAUGCGGGGCCCAGAGAGGUCCAGUGACGUCCCGGGGUCACACGGCAAGCGAGCCACAGAAUCCGGAUUCUAACCCAGGCAGAGGGACUGGUACCUCUCGUGCGCAAGUUGGCUGGGAACCGGCCGACGCCGAGGCCCAGGCGGGGAGGCUGAGCCAAGAUGGGCAGGGUAGGGGCCCGGCUGAUGGAAAUGAUGAAAUCGGGGCCCCCGGCCAGCAGGGCUUGGGCUCUUUCUUUUAAGACAACAACCCUCAGCUUUGUCUGCAGCCCAGGCCCUUCUGGGAAAUCACCCCACCCUGCCCCAUCCCCCACGGGGGAGGUGUUGGACGUGACCCCUCUCUUGGGAGGGUACGGCCUGUCUGUUCCGUCAGGCUCGGCUGCUCUCGGGACCGCCAGCCCCACCCACCGGGCUGGUGGCCGCGGGCCUCCACCGCCUGCCUCCCGGGAGCCGUCCGGCCUCAGGCCCCGAAGCCCUUCUCUGGCCUCAUGGGAGCCUCGGGCCGGGCGAUGCCCUGGGACAGUCACUCUGGCCGUCCAGGGUGUCAGGCAUGGGCAAACCUGCCAGGAGCCAUGGGCAGGAGUCUGGAACCCCUUUCCCUGCGCCCCCGGGCCGAGCCGCUCUUCAGACCCCGUGAGCUGUGUCCUCCGGGGUCCCCGCGGGCCAGCUGUGCUGAAGAUGUGAGAAUCAGGACCCGUGACUCUGUAACCAUCCGAUGACCUUGAGGGGAGUGUCUGCCUUGGCACGAAGCCACAUGAGAAGUGGAACUGAGAGGAGAGAAAAAGCAGAGCCUGGGUCCUGGAUCCUGGAUCAUGCCACGCCUGAAGCUGUACUCUGUUCUCAGUGAAUUAAGUCAAUAAUCAGCUGGGUUGGGUGUCCUGUGGUUACCCGCAACUUAGAUUGUUGCACAGAGGCCGUGUGCAGCCGGACCCCGACAGUAAAUAUAGAUUCACAAGGAGCACUCAGCCCAGGGGCAGGGGUUAUGCACCUACUGUUUACAGAGCGCCCAUGAUGGGCUGGGCACUGUCCCCUUUAUGUGCACACCAGGCCCCCACUUUACGCGUGGGGACCUGAGGCUAAGGCCUGUGAAAUGGCGGCUGGGGCUUGGCCUCUGCUCUGUCUCACCCAGAGCCUGUGUGGUUCCCCCUCCCCAGGCGGCCCGAUCCCAGCGGCGGCCCAGAGCCCGGCCUCACUGGACAUCUGGAACCCGGAGCAUCUGGCUGCAGGCGGGAGGCCCGGGCAUGGCUGGCGCCCGGAGCUCGCGGGGGGCGCACGGUGUAACCACGAGCCAGCUCUGUGACGCAGCCGGCUCCCGACCCCGCGUGUUCAGGCUCUAACGCGUCCUGCCUGCCAUGUGACUGUCAGAGCCCCGUCUCUCCUCCUUCGCACGGGCACACCUGGCCUCCGCACUCUUGUGCACUGUGCCUCUCGCAGGCUGCCAGGGCACCAGCCGACCAGCCGGCAGAGACCGGGGCCCCGGGCACUGAGUGCCCCCCUCCUUGAGGGCAGCGGCACCCCACGCCUCCCACCCUCCUGGACGACGGUCUCUGCCCUCGGCCUACCUGUCCUGCCUUUGGCUUUCAUCCACCCUCCGACCCACCCUCCUGCCCCAGGUCCUGGCUGGCACCUCCUCGUUCCCAGGACGCCUCACAGCGGGGACUUCCUCCUCCGUCCCUCCGGGGUUCCGACUGCACACCCCAUCGCUGGCAUCUCCAGUUUGGAAAACUGUACCGGCUUCAGUGACACGUGAUUCACACGCCACACAAAGUACACGCGUCAGUGCGUUUUCAUGUGUUCACAGACGUGUGCAGGCGUCCCCACACUUAAUUUUAGGACGCCGCCGAACAAACCCUGCGCCCGUUAGCUGCCACUCCCCGCCCCCCGCCCCCCAGCAACCAGUAAUGUGCCUCCUCUGUCCCUGCAGACCCGCCCUCUCCGGACAUGUCAGGCACAUGGAGCCCUACAAAGUGUGGCACCUGUCAGCACUCUGUUCCCUUUCACGGCUGCACAGGGGGUCCACCGCACGGCACGCGACGCUUGGUUCAUCCAGUGACCGUCAAGGAGCAUUUGGGAGCGCACUCCCGGGAGCAGAAUUGCCGGGGCUCGCGGACCGACCUCCGGAGGAGCCGCCAGCCCGUCUUCCCGGGUGACCGCAGUGCCCUGCGCCCCCGCCGGCAGCGCCCCCGGCUCCCGCCCUCUGCCUCCUUGCCAACCCUUGCUACUUUCCGUCUCCUAAAAACGCAUUAAAAGUCACCCUAAUAUAUGUGAA